rnacentral:misc_RNA from 1 species
GAAAUGCGAUAAGUAGUGUGAAUUGCAGAAUUCAGUGAAUCAUCGAAUCUUUGAACGCACAUUGCGCCCCUUGGUAUUCCAUGGGGCAUACCUGUUCGAGCGUCAUUUGUACCUUCAAGCUUUGCUUGGUGUUGGGUGUUUGUCUCGCCUCCGCGCGUAGACUCGCCUCAAAACAAUUGGCAGCCGGCGUAUUGUUUUCGGAGCGCAGUACAUCUCGCGCUUUGCACUCAUAACGACGACGUCCAAAAGUACAUUUUUACACUCUUGACCUCGGAUCAGGUAGGGAUACCCGCUGAACUUAAGC